rnacentral:rRNA from 1 species
UACGAAGGGGGCUAGCGUUGUUCGGAAUUACUGGGCGUAAAGCGCACGUAGGCGGAUUUGUUAGUCAGGGGUGAAAUCCCGGGGACUCAACCUCGGAACUGCCUUUGAUACUGCAAGUCUCGAGUCCGGAAGAGGUGAGUGGAAUUCCUAGUGUAGAGGUGAAAAUUCGUAGAUAUUCGCAAGAACACCAAGUGGCGAAGGCGGCUCACUGGCCCGAUACUGACGCUUGAGGCACGAAAGC